rnacentral:lncRNA from 1 species
GGUUGGCUUACCGGACGUUAGCUCAUUCCUCGUCAUCUCUCUCCAUUUUUCAAAUGAUGAGAGCUAGAUGAUACGAGCUGACCACCAGAGGCGAGAUGGAUACAGUAUUGCCCAAAUUGACUAUCUUAUUUCUAGUCUAAUAAGAUUAUUUGAACCCUUUUGAAAGUUAAUCAAAUUAUUAGAAAUAAAUCGUUUUGGACUAUGUAAUUGCUAAUGCAAUUGUUUAUGAUUUAUAAAUUCCGCAAUUUACAAGGUCAAUUAAGUUAAAUUGAUGUUAUUCAACUUUAUCUACCCUGCUGUAUAUAUUUCUUGAAUGAAAACUUUGUUAACACUCAUGAAAUUAGAAUUUUUUAAACUUAGGGUGUUACAGUUAACGUCCCUAAGAAGUUUGCUGUUGCUAUACAAAACCAGAAAACGGGUACGCAUGUGGAGUAGCCAACUGGUCCAAGCGUUAUUAGCUUCGAUAAGGAUGGAACCAAGGGUAUGCAGCAGGAAGAUGAGCUACAAGUUCCACUCACUUGAGGUUUUUAAUAGAAAGAAACGUAACAACAAAUCGAAGGUGUACCCAUGUUUGGAUUCAUUUUGAAUCUCUUACUUUGGAUCAUUAGAUCUUCGUAAUGUUUGUUUUGUAAGUCCGGGCAUGCUGGGAGUAGUUGCACUCUAUCUAUAUAUAUUUAUUUACCGAUCAAAAAAUAAAAUCACAAGUCUUUUUGCCUUUUGUUGUGAAAUUGGUUGGCUCUUUUUGUUUUUAGAUUUUUUAUCAGUUC